GCCAGGCAUGGUGAUGCACGCCUGUAAUCCCAGUGGCUCGGGACGCUGAGGCAGGAGGAUCACAACUUCAAGAACAGUUGAGCAACUUUGUGAGACCCUGUCUCUA
rnacentral:sRNA from 1 species